rnacentral:misc_RNA from 1 species
UUCAACCUGGACUGGCCCUUGAUCAUACUUGUGUGGAAGCGAGGUUGUUCUAAACUCAUACUGACACCCAGUGACGCCCAGAAUACCCACAGCUCUUACUUCACUGAGCAGCAUGCAUAUUCAACGGAGGGCAUGCUGAUGGACGUACAGUGGAGACCUUGGGGUUCACGAUGAAUCACCUGUGUGAAACUGGUGUCUUUCUCUGCACAGACUCACUACAGUUUGUGCAGAUUACCACCGUGCUACGGCUCCUUCAUUGGAUUACGGUCUUGGAUAGAUACUAACCAAGAUGGGCACGGUGGGAGGAUUGUUUGAUAGUUUUUUCGUUCAUUAGGACAAACACAACUGUCCUAGUUAAACUGCAAUCUAUCAGGAUAGGUUGCAUCGGAGACGGCCCCAGCUGCAUCUUGGGCCCGUUUCUAGUCGCCAUGUCGUUGAUCGACUCUAUUUAUUAAUAGUGAAUAUGAUUGAAAGAAAGUU